GUGCUUAAACAUGCAAGUCGAACGAACCUUCGGGUUAGUGGCGGACGGGUGAGUAACGCGUGGGAAUCUGCCCUCAGGAGGGGGAUAACGGUUGGAAACGGCCGCUAAUACCCCAUAUGCCGAGAGGUGAAAUGAAUUUCGCCUGAGGAUGAGCCCGCGUCUGAUUAGCUAGUUGGUGAGGUAAGAGCUCACCAAGGCAUCGAUCAGUAGCUGGUCUGAGAGGAUGAUCAGCCACACUGGGACUGAGACACGGCCCAGACUCCUACGGGAGGCAGCAGUGGGGAAUUUUCCGCAAUGGGCGAAAGCCUGACGGAGCAACGCCGCGUGAGGGAUGAAGGCCUCUGGGCUGUAAACCUCUUUUAUCAAGGAAGAAGAUCUGACGGUACUUGAUGAAUAAGCCACGGCUAAUUCCG
rnacentral:rRNA from 1 species